rnacentral:misc_RNA from 1 species
ACUUUCAGGCCAAACAUUGUCCUUAGAUUAUGGGCUAUUGCUUCACCCUGACCAAGUUCCUCUGAUUUCAGAUCAGCGAAGGCCCCAGGGGUGUCAACAAAAGUAACAAUAGGAAAACCAUGAUGAUCAGCAUAUUUCAUCAUACGCAAGGCCUUCCGGUAGCCGUGAGGAGUUGGCAUCGCAAAAUUGCGAGCAAUAUUCUCCUUUGNNNNNNNGCCUAUGAACAUAUAGCUUUUACCAUCUACAGUUCCAAUACCAGUGACAAUAGCUGGAUCAUCAUAAC